rnacentral:rRNA from 1 species
GGGGAAUCUUCCGCAAUGGGCGAAAGCCUGACGGAGCAACGCCGCGUGAGUGAAGACGGCCUUCGGGUUGUAAAGCCCUGUUAUACGGGACGAAAAAUCUUGUGGUUAAUACCCAUAAGAAGUGACGGUACCGUAAGAGAAAGCCACGGCUAACUACGUGCCAGCAGCCGCGGUAAUACGUAGGUGGCAAGCGUUGUCCGGAAUUAUUGGGCGUAAAGGGCGCGCAGGCGGCUUCUUAAGUCUGUCUUAAAAGUGCGGGGCUUAACCCCGUGAUGGGAUGGAAACUGGGAAGCUCAGAGUAUCGGAGAGGAAAGCGGAAUUCCUAGUGUAGCGGUGAAAUGCGUAGAUAUUAGGAGGAACACCAGUGGCGAAAGCGGCUUUCUGGACGAAAACUGACGCUGAGGCGCGAAAGCCAGGGGAGCGAACGGGAUUAGAUACCCCGGUAGUCCUGGCCGUAAACGAUGGGUACUAGGUGUAGGAGGUAUCGACCCCUUCUGUGCCGGAGUUAACGCAAUAAGUACCCCGCCUGGGGAGUACGGCCGCAAGGUUG